rnacentral:rRNA from 1 species
UACAGAGGUCUCAAGCGUUGUUCGGAUUCAUUGGGCGUAAAGGGUGCGUAGGCGGCGCGGUAAGUCGGGUGUGAAAUCUCGGAGCUUAACUCCGAAACUGCAUUCGAUACUGCCGUGCUUGAGGACUGGAGAGGAGACUGGAAUUUACGGUGUAGCGGUGAAAUGCGCAGAUAUCAGGAGGAACACCAAUUGCGAAGGCAGCUCGCUGGGACGUAACUGACGCUGAGACGCGAAAGCGUGGGGGAGCAAACAGG